rnacentral:rRNA from 1 species
UAAGGAAUAUUGGACAAUGGAGGCAACUCUGAUCCAGCCAUGCCGCGUGAAGGAAGACGGCCUUAUGGGUUGUAAACUUCUUUUAUACAGGAAGAAACCUUUCCACGUGUGGAAAGCUGACGGUACUGUAAGAAUAAGGAUCGGCUAACUCCGUGCCAGCAGCCGCGGUAAUACGGAGGAUCCAAGCGUUAUCCGGAAUUAUUGGGUUUAAAGGGUCCGCAGGCUGUUUGUUAAGUCAGAGGUGAAAUCCUACCGCUCAGCGGUAGAACUGCCUUUGAUACUGGCAAACUUGAGUUAUUGUGAAGUAGUUAGAAUGUGUAGUGUAGCGGUGAAAUGCAUAGAUAUUACACAGAAUACCGAUUGCGAAAGCAGAUUACUAACAAUAUACUGACGCUGAGGGACGAAAGCGUGGGUAGCGAACAGGAUUAGAUACCCUGGUAGUCCACGCCGUAAACGAUGGUCACUAGCUGUUCGAUGUACAUUGGUACGUUGAGUGGCUAAGCGAAAGUGAUAAGUAAUCCACCUGGGGAGUACGAUCGCAAGGUUGAAACUCAAAGGAAUUGACGGGGGCCCGCACAAGCGGUGGAGCAUGUGGUUUAAUUCGAUGAUACGCGAGGAACCUUACC